rnacentral:rRNA from 1 species
GACGAACGCUGGCGGCGUGCUUAACACAUGCAAGUCGAACGGAAAGGCCCUGCUUGCAGGGUACUCGAGUGGCGAACGGGUGAGUAACACGUGGGUGAUCUGCCCUGCACUUCGGGAUAAGCCUGGGAAACUGGGUCUAAUACCGGAUAGGAGCCAUUUUUAGUGUGAUGGUUGGAAAGUUUUUUCGGUGUAGGAUGAGCGCGCGGCCUAUCAGCUUGUUGGUGGGGUAAUGGCCUACCAAGGCGGCGACGGGUAGCCGGCCUGAGAGGGUGGACGGCCACAUUGGGACUGAGAUACGGCCCAGACUCCUACGGGAGGCAGCAGUGGGGAAUAUUGCACCAUGGGCGCAAGCCUGAUGCAGCGACGCCGCGUGGGGGAUGACGGCCUUCGGGUUGUAAACUCCUUUCGCUAGGGACGAAGCUUUUUGUGACGGUACCUAGAUAAGAAGCACCGGCUAACUACGUG